AGAAAUGAUUCGAAUACAGAUUAUUCAGAGAAAAAUAACAAACCUGAAGAUGAUUGUACAGAAAAAUCGUCUAAAUCAGUGAGCAGAAGAAACGAAAUAAGGUGCAUACAACGGAUGAAUAAAAUAUUAAAAGAAACUAUUCUUAAAAUUAAUGAAACAGAAGUCCUUUCUAUUGAAAAUGAAGAAUUGUCUAAACUUCUGGGAAUAUGCAAAUCCCUCGGAUUAAAAGAGGAAGAAAUAAAUUGUAUCAUUCAAAGAGGAUUACAAGACGAUAAUUUAGAACAUAAAAUCGAAGAAGUGGCGAAGAAUAAAACCAAGCUUCCAGAGUGUUUGCGGUAUGAAUAUUUUGAUGCAAUGGUUUACUACCUCGAGUCAGAUCGGAAUGUGGCAACAGAAUUUUGCAAACAGUUGACAUCUUUGGAACUAGAACAUCCACUAAAACCGAUCCUAUACGACGAUUCUCAUUUAGAUCAUGUUACAAGUUCAAAACUCGAACAAUUACAGCUGACUUGCGAUAAUUCUAUGUUCAUUUUUGUACUUGUUACUGAAACUUUUAUUAAGAACAGAACAUUGCCAAAAACUGAUGACCAAUCAACAUUAAAUGGUAAGGAUAGUGACAAGUCAGAUAAACUUGGAAUUGAUAACGAAUUUAAUCGUUUUUUCGAUGAAAUAGUUUAUUAUUGUGGUACGGAAAACAAAAUAAUACCUGUAAGAACAAAACAAGGUUUGCCACUACCAUUUGGAAUAGGCGCUGUGAAAGCAAUUGAUUUCUAUAAUCAAGACGACCAAUACAUCAAAGGGCUUAAUCAUCAAUUUUCGAAAAGUGACGAAGAAAGACGAAAAAAAAAAACACAAUUCGAGAAACAGUUUGAAUGAUUAUCAAAUAUGUCUAUUCCUAAUAUUGUUUAAAAAAGGGGUCACUUAAAAGUAUAAAUUAAAAGAACAAUACAAGAAAAACACAAUGCAAUGAAUGAUGUAUGCGCCAAAAAUUAAAUUGUAUGCAAAUCCGCUUAAAAUCGGUCACUUUGUAAUACUAAAAUGUUAUGUUAUAGUGAAACCAUGUGAUCACACCAUUCUGAAAAAAGGGUUAAUUAAAAUCCUCAUCUAGAUUUGAAAAUUACCUUUAUAUUAACGAAAUACACACAAAGAUUUAAAAGACCCCGCAAAUCAUCAAAUAGUCGAUAUAUGGUCCAAAUAUACUAGUAAUCCCUAGUGUGGAAAAUGUAUUACUUGCCAUUUUUUUCAUACACAUUUUCAAUUAAUUACUCCUUGUUUUAUGUCUCAAAUAAAAAGUAGGGAGAUGAUAUUACACUUAAAAAAUUAACGGUACGAAUUUUAAGGUUAAGUUGUAAUUUGUUCCAGUUAAUAUAAAAUUAGUUCGUCUGAAGCUGUCAAACUGAAUUACCUCUGAACUUAAAAUUGUCCAUAUUUUAGUUAGAGCUGAUGAAGUUUUCUAUAAUUUUUUAUAUGACUUGUCCAAAAAGUAGUACAUCACACUUUAAACAUAUUAUUGGGAUAAAGCCGGUGAGAUUUUUUUAAUUUGUCUAAAAGAAAUGCACUACGAAAUAAAUCAUGUGUUCUCGGGCCAUAUGAAUACUUCGAACCGUAUAUCGGUCUUAAAAUUUUGGUUCCUUCGGCGUCGUGUCGUCGUUAACAUUUAAGUUCAGUCUGGGGUAAAAUUGUAUAGACAUAA